AAAAAUUAUCAAAAGAAUAAAAAAUAACCAAGUAUUUGAUAUUGUUAUGUACCUGAUGAGGUACAAACAAUGGUAAAAAAAUGUUAAAAACUUGGCAUCUUUUAGCUUUAUAUUUGAAGCAUUUAGCCAAUAUGAUUACUAUAUGAAUUGGUAUGUAGCAUUUUGCUUUCUAAUUAAAUCAUAAUUUGAAGCUGUUUGCAUAAAGAAGUUAAAAUGUGCCUUAUAUCAAAGAGUGCUCUUUUGAUUGUGAUUUCCAUUUUUGGAAAACCACGUUAGAUUCAUUAUAGUCUAUACAGAUUAUCAAAAUCAUUUUACAUUAUUGCAAGAUGAAAAUAUUGAAAUGGUCAUUGAUUAGAGCAAUUAGUGCUCAGAAAGAUAAUCAGAUUACUGUAAAUUCAGAAAUUAUUGUGUUCAAUUCUAACAUGACGUUCUUCAAAAGCUUUUAAGUACACACCCAUGGUAAAAUAUGAAUAUAUUUCCUUGGCUGUUCCAAUCGUACUCCCACGUCAUAUGCUUUUUUAUGAAUGAGCUUCCUGAUGUCAUUGAAUAAUGACAUAAGAAUAUAAGCAUGUUACAGGAAAAUACAAGCUUGUGAAACCGAAAAUCAUCACAAGGAAACGUAAACAAAUGAUGCUAAAAUGUGAUAUAAGCCAUUUUUUCAAAACAUAUAAGACAUAAGUAAAUUAUCAUUUACAUUCAUCAAAAACUAUCUUAAUAGGUUAUUAUAAAUAGUGAACGGCAAAUAUUUCUAUCCCUCAGUGUAAAAUAUUUGUCAUAAAGGGCCAACCUAUGGUAAAAUUACUAUAUAUUCAAGCCCCCAUGAAUUAUUUCUUAAUUAUAUUACAGAAUGGACAAAAGUGCAAGGUAUAAUAUAGGACUACUUGAAAACCUGCAUAGAGAUAUAUGUAUCAGAUAUCAGAAUGAGACUAACCAAGUUGCAUAAUAUCUGCAUAAAUAUAAACCUUGCAAUAAUUUCUGAAUUGACGGUAAAUGAUUUAAUAGGAUUUAAAAUUGAAAAGCAUAGAAGAUCUUUUUGGAAUAACAGUAAAGUAGAUGGAGUACAGAUGCAUUGUGGGAUAUACUUUAUUAAAAAAAGCAAAUAUAUGCAUUUCUAAAGUUGUUAGGAAUGGUCAUGUCUGUCUGUUAUCUGUUCAGUUUGUUCACAUUUUAGAUGCAGGUAGUCAUUACCUGUUUUUUUUUUUUCAUUGUCCAUUUUAUAAUACAUUCAGUCAACAUAGGAAACAUACCUUUAUAGGGAACUUUAUAUUGAAAACAGACAGAUUGAUGCAUUGUCAUAGGUGGUUUAUUGUGUGAAGUCAGUUCUAGAUGAAAUUUCAAGGAACACCUGUUCUGAAAUACUGAAAUAAAUUUAGCUUUUUAUUGCAUCAACAAACACCAUAAACUGUGAUCAAGCAUUAUCUUUCAAAAAAGCUUGUCUUAACUCAAAAUCAUGUCUUUUAGAAACUUUUUUAUAAAAAUGAAAUGAAGUUUUCAAGAACAACA
rnacentral:lncRNA from 1 species